rnacentral:rRNA from 1 species
CCUACGGGGGGCAGCAGUAGGGAAUCUUCCACAAUGGACGAAAGUCUGAUGGAGCAACGCCGCGUGAGUGAAGAAGGUUUUCGGAUCGUAAAACUCUGUUGUUGGAGAAGAACGUAUUUGAUAGUAACUGAUCAGGUAGUGACGGUAUCCAACCAGAAAGCCACGGCUAACUACGUGCCAGCAGCCGCGGUAAUACGUAGGUGGCAAGCGUUGUCCGGAUUUAUUGGGCGUAAAGCUAGCGCAGGCGGUUUCUUAAGUCUGAUGUGAAAGCCUUCGGCUCAACCGAAGAAGUGCAUCGGAAACUGGGAAACUUGAGUGCAGAAGAGGACAGUGGAACUCCAUGUGUAGCGGUGAAAUGCGUAUAUAUAUGGAAUAACACCAGUGGCGAAGGCGGCUGUCUUGUCUGUAACUGACGCUGAGGCUCGAAAGCAUGGGUAGCA